UACACGACGUCAUGUAGCUACACAUGUUCUGACGUGACUGGAGCAGAACGUGUGAUGAACUACGAAGAAGAUACACCUUGCAUUCGCUCGAGUGAAGAGGUGGAAAGCAUUAAACUGGCAGGCCUAUGCAAGAAGGGCGUCUGCGUGGAGCCGUCCGAAAUAGGGAACCACGAAAGAAAACAAGCCCACCCAGAGCGACUUAUAAGAUGCAAAGAGAAAGCAAAUAGGCAGGCAAG